AUGGCGACCGGCGUACGGGUGAGUAACGCGUAUCCAACCUGCCCUUUACUAUGGGACAGCCCGUCGAAAGGCGGAUUAAUACCGUAUGUUGUCAUGUUGAUGCAUAUUUUCAUGACCAAAGGCUUCGGCCGGUAAAGGAUGGGGAUGCGUCUGAUUAGCUUGCCGGCGGGGUAACGGCCCACCGGGGCGACGAUCAGUAGGGUUCUGAGAGGAAGGUCCCCCACAUUGGAACUGAGACACGGUCCAAACUCCUACGGGAGGCAGCAG
rnacentral:rRNA from 1 species